GUCCUCGUUGGUUUUGUGAAAACAAAUUAAUGCGUGCGAAAAUGCCAUGUGUGAGUACUUUCUAUGAAGAAAUCUCUAUAUCUUUAUAUGGUGUACAAUAUGACAGCCAUAUGGGCAUGAGUUUGGUUACACAUACCGUCUUCCGUCUUGGGUCCUAAAUUGGUUAAGUGGGUUGUAUUGCAAUCAUCUAAUUCAUCCUCUACAAAGAGUUCUUGACAGAAGUUGGGGUCUCCUCCAUAUGAAGAUGAAACUAAAAACAAGGUGACUGAGACAUAUAUAGCUGGAAAUAUCAUGACAUGCUUCGGAUCUUUGUAUCCACAGAAAACG